rnacentral:rRNA from 1 species
UACGUAGGGGGCGAGCGUUGUCCGAAUUUACUGGGCGUAAAGCGCGCGUAGGCGGCUCUUUAAGUCCGGGGUGAAAGGUCCAGCGCUCAACGCGGACAGUGCCCUGGAGACUGGGGGGGCUUGAGUGUGGCAGGGGGGACCGGAAUUCCUGGUGUAGCGGUGAAAUGCGUAGAUAUCAGGAGGAACACCGGUGGCGAAGGCGGGUCCCUGGGCUAACACUGACGCUGAGGCGCGAAAGCGCGGGGAGCGAACGGGG